AGAAACUAUAACAAACAUAAUGCGUAUACUACAUGAUUAUGGUAAUCCUACAAAUCCAGUACCGUCGUCCAUUAGACCAAAACGAAGGUACCCAAAAAAUGAUAGGCACCUUUUGCAACAAGCUUGUCAUCGAACCAAACCGAAUCAUAAAUGUCAAUUCGUAGCUGACCCUAGUCCCGAGUCCAAAACACAGGUGUGUUCAAUGUCAGAGAAUAGAGGAGCUGGCUGUUCUAGGGAGAGUGAAACAUCUACUUAUGUGCCCAUAGAAGUUACCAGCCCAUCAACUGUGCCUCGUCGGUAGGUGCCUCUAUGUCAAGAAGAAGCAACAUGUGUAGAUGAUGAUAAUAUAGUGUGUACAAGAUCAGGCAGUCCAGCAGCCGGCUGUUCUAGGGAGCGUGAAACAUCUACUAGUGAAUCCAUAAGUGAAUGGCGACAAAACCGACUAACCGAUGAAAUGGCGGUGAACGCCACGAAAAGAGGUAUGCCGUACUAUGCAGGAAUAAUUGACCUGAUGAAUGGUCAUGAAAUUUAUGUAAAAUUUCCGCGAAGAUACGGCGAUAGAGUAUUCUUAUACGAGAGAAGCGAUUUACUACCAUUUACCACACAAUUCCCGGAUGGCAAAUUUAAACCAUUUAAAGCUAUACCUGCACAUAAAAAUACACGAUACAUACGUCAAACAUUACGGAACUAUGAACAAAAUGUAAUGAACUAUUUAAAUUCGAUAUUAUUUUAAAUAAAUUAAAAAUGGAAGAACCGUGCAAAAAAUAAUAAUUGUGCGAUCGAAAUGAGACUUGCACCAUUAGAUUACACUCGUACUCGGCUAUUAUCCCUGUUAAUUUUAUGCAAAAAUACAAAAAACCCUGUAGGCACCGAGCUGACGACUAUUAGAUGGCCGCGCACCGCGCAAUCACACGGUGUUUCAUGCAAAUCAAUUGCUUAAAAAUUAAUUUUGUUUUGUUUUGUUUAUUAUCAAUGAUUGAAAAUGAAGUUUUGAAUCGAAUUGUUAUGUCCGGACAAGUUGCUGAGUACAUUAAUAUAUUUCCAUUUCAUACUCAAGCUGUUGAGAGAGCCGUUAAGUUAGUAACCGAUGCAUCUACUGCGGUUUGUGGUGAAUCAGCAAGAGAUGGAUUUAUACGAGCUAGAAUUGAGUCGCGGGCUAUAAUGCCAUCAUUUAAUACAAAAAAAGAAUAUAAAUUGUUUAAAUUAUAAAAUUAUAUGAUGAGUAAAAUUCUAAUGAUAAGUAAC